CCUACGGGAGGCAGCAGUGGGGAAUUUUGCGCAAUGGGGGAAACCCUGACGCAGCAACGCCGCGUGCGGGACGAAGGCCCUCGGGUUGUAAACCGCUUUCAGCAGGGAAGAUCCAAGACGGUACCUGCAGAAGAAGCUCCGGCUAACUACGUGCCAGCAGCCGCGGUAAUACGUAGGGGGCGAGCGUUAUCCGGAUUCAUUGGGCGUAUAGCGCGCGUAGGCGGUCGCCAAAGCGGUACGUCGAACCCCGGGGCACAACUCCGGGCCGGGUCCCGGACUGGGCGGUUAGAGAGCAGUAGAGGUGGGCGGAAUUCCCGGUGUAGCGGUGAAAUGCGCAGAUAUCGGGAAGAACACCGAUGGCGAAGGCAGCUCUCUGGGCCGUCACUGACGCUGAGGCGCGAAAGCUGGGGGAGCGAACAGGAUUAGAUACCCUAGUAGUC
rnacentral:rRNA from 1 species